GCAUCCGGUGUGAGCCCGUUGCGACACUUCUUGUCGGAGCCGAACAAGAACCAACGCCGACACUCUUUUUGCCACUCCUCUCUCUCUAACUCUCUCUCUCUCCUUCGCUGCAUAAAAAUGGCGAUCACCUCUCGUAACCUCUUCAGAUUCCGUACUCUUCUCCUCUUCUCCUCUCUACUGGUUGUUGUCCUUGUCUUCUUAUUCAGAUCAGAAAUAUCAGAUACAUUAUCCCUCGAGAUUUUACCCUUGUCCAGAAUCAAAAGAUAUGCCCAACGAUAUUGGCAUCAACAAGAUUGUUGGGACUGCAAGAAGGAACAGGGUAUUGAUAUAACUGUUACAUACACCGAUCCUGCUGGUCAUAUUAAAAUAUACACAGUCAAUUCAAGGGAGUUAUCCUCUUCAUGGGUAUGGGUGAAUCCUGCCAAUAUAAGUCAUACACCGCCAACAGUCGGACUGCAAAACGUAGUUUUAAGCCGACAGCAUUCCAGUAAUGGCUCGCAAGACACUAUUGCAACUAGAUCACCGGAUGCUGCUCAUCCUUCUGGUGGUCAAAAUCCAGAAGCUAUCCAGAUCGACCCAAUCAAACUUAAGCGCCAGUAUCUGCGACAGAAAAGGAAGGAACAACGAACUGCUGAACUGAUUCAAGUGAGUAAAGAAGCUGAACUCAAGAUGCGACAAGCUGCCAUUGAACGCUCGAAACAGUUUGUUAACACAGCUAGGGAGCGAUACAGCAUAUGGAGGAGGGAAUUCAGCAACCCUAACUCGGAUUCUACUUUGAAACUUAUGAAGGAUCAAGUAAUAAUGGCCAAAGUGUAUGCAAGCAUGGCUCGUUCAAAGAAGGAAUUCAAUCUCUAUGACUCCCUUAUGAAAUGUAUCAAAGAAAGCCAGCUUGCCGUUGAAGAUGCAAAUUCUGAUAAUGAACUACCUAGGAGUUCUCUUGGGCAAGCAAAAGCGAUGGGCCAUGCAUUAUCCAUAGCAAAAGAUGCGCUACUCAACUAUGAUGCAGUGGCAAGGAAGUUAAGGGCCAUGCUCCAAUACAUGGAAGAAAACAUAAUUGCUGUGAAGAAACAGAACACCUUCCUAGUUCAACAUGCUGCAAAGACUGUUCCUACACCCCUACACUGCCUUUCUUUGCAGUUAAGUACUGAUUAUUUCCUUCAUAACUAUUCUAGCAAAGAGGAGGCAUAUAAUGAAAAGCUCGAGGAUCCAUCUCUGUAUCAUUAUGCCAUAUUCUCGGACAAUGUACUUUCUACAUCAGUAGUGGUCAAUUCGACAAUACUGCAUGCAAAGGAACCAGAGAAACAUGUAUUUCACAUAGUCACAGAUAAACUACACUUCGCCGCUAUGAAAAUGUGGUUCAUCCUACAUCCGCCUCGACCAGCCACUAUCCACGUCGAAAACAUUGAUGAUUUCAAGUGGCUUAAUUCCUCUUACUGUUCAGUACUUCGACAACUUGAAUCUUCUAGAAUCAAAGAUUACUACUUUAAAGCCAGUCAUGCAUCAUCCCUUUCGGUCGGGAAUGAAAACCUCAAGUAUCGAAAUCCCAAGUACUUGUCUAUGCUCAACCAUCUAAGGUUCUACAUGCCAGAAAUUUAUCCCAAGCUAGAGAAGAUACUGUUUCUUGAUGAUGACAUCGUUGUUCAAAAGGACUUGACACCACUUUGGUCUGUGGAUUUGAAAGGAAUGGUGAAUGGUGCAGUGGAAACAUGUAAGGAAAGCUUCCACCGCUUUGACACAUAUAUCAACUUCUCGAACCCCAUAAUUUCUAAGAACUUUGACCCACGAGCUUGCGGAUGGGCUUUUGGGAUGAACAUAUUCGACUUGAAAGAGUGGAAAAAGCGGAAUAUCACAGGAAUAUACCAUUAUUGGCAAGACCUGAACGAGGAUCGCAAGCUUUGGAAGCUCGGGACAUUGCCUCCGGGUUUGAUAACUUUCUACAACUUGACAUAUCCCCUUGAUCGAAGUUGGCAUGUUCUGGGCCUCGGUUAUGAUCCAGCCGUAAAUCCUUCGGAGAUCGAGAACGCAGCUGUGAUUCACUACAACGGAAACUACAAGCCGUGGCUUGAUCUUGCCAUUGCCAAGUACAAGACGCACUGGUCCAAGUUUGUAAAAUUUGACAAUCCAUACAUUCAGAUCUGCUACAUGAACAAUUAAGGUUGGCUGUGUAUUUAAUACUAAUCAAUCUUGCUCCAGCAGGGGCAAAAAAAAAGAAGAAAAAAAAUCUGCCAAGCAGCUUGUGCUUCAGAGUUGGCUCCUGAAAAGGCUUCUGAUUUUUCGAGCUUUCUGGAAGCUUGGAGCAAGCAUGCAAAGUUUAAACACGCUCAGGAUCAAAGAGAGUGGAUUACUCGGCGUCAUAUAAGUCUGUGAAAUCAACGGAUAUCGCAAAUAUAACAGCUACAGCAAGAAUGCAGAGGAGAACGAAGAUGGUUCUGAAACACAAUACAAAACAUGUGAAGAAAGGUGCACGUUAUUACAUCAUUUAUUUCUUUCUGUAACACUGCUUGAUAUUGGACUCAGCAUGCUGACACGUUGACUAUCA